GCCAUCUUCAUUCUGGCGCGAGCCGCGGAACUGUUUGUGGAGACCAUUGCAAAAGAUGCCUACUGCUGUGCACAACAAGGAAAGAGGAAAACCCUCCAGAGGAGAGAUUUGGAUAAUGCAAUAGAAGCUGUGGAUGAAUUUGCUUUUCUGGAAGGUACUUUGGAUUGAUUGCUGAGCUGGGCAGUUUCAUGAGUCUUCUCUGCAUCCUUUAGCUUGUCCCUCUCUGCAGACCUCAGCUUUGAAGAACAGAGUCCAUGCACACAUAUAUACUCUUCCUGUUUUACCUUUACGUGAGCUGGGAUAAGCUGAGAUCUCAUCUGACAGCUUUUUUUCUACAAGGUCUUCCAUUCAUGUCUGUCUUCCACUCGCAUCUAUCUGGAUGCAGCUGCUACUUGGGGCAGAAAUUGUUCUGCAUAGGUAGCUUAAUGAAUGACAGGGACCAGAAUAAAGGUCUCUGAUCAACUUCAUUCUAGUGUGUUUUAUAAUCUCCUCUGUUCUUGCCUUGUGACUGGAGGGCUACCAUGCACAAGUGUAGACCUUCCCAGUUGUACCUGCCAGCCUUUUAAAUCAUAGUCUUGUCAUUAAUUUUGUUCAUUUUUCUGUCUAGUCACCAGAAUGUGGUUCCAGAAUUUAUGAAGUCACAUUUUUUUCUUAAGAGUCAAAUAAAUGUCCUACAUUGAAAAGCAGUUCAGCCAGGCGUGGUGGUGCAUGCCUGUAAUCCCAGCACUCAGGAGGCAGAGUCAGGAGGAUCGCU